GAUGAACGCUGGCGGCGUGCCUAAUACAUGCAAGUCGAGCGAACAGACGAGGAGCUUGCUCCUCUGACGUUAGCGGCGGACGGGUGAGUAACACGUGGAUAACCUACCUAUAAGACUGGGAUAACUUCGGGAAACCGGAGCUAAUACCGGAUAAUAUAUUGAACCGCAUGGUUCAAUAGUAAAAUACGGUUUUGCUGUCACUUAUAGAUGGAUCCGCGCCGCAUUAGCUAGUUGGUAAGGUAACCGCCUACCAAGGCAACGAUGCGUAGCCGACCUGACAGGGGGAUAGGCCACCUUGGAACGGAGACACGGUCAAGAGUCCUACGGGAGGCAGCAGUCGGGAAUCUGCCGCAGUGGGCGAGAGCCUGACGGAGCAACGCCGCGUGAGUGAUGACGGUCUUCGGAGCGUAAAACUCUGUUAUGAGGGAAGAACAAAUGUGUAAGGAAAUAUGCACGUCUUGACGGUACCUAAUAAGAAAGCCACGGCUAACUACGUG
rnacentral:rRNA from 1 species